AUUGAACGCUGGCGGCAUGCCUUACACAUGCAAGUCGAACGGCAGCACGGGUGCUUGCCCCUGGUGGCGAGUGGCGAACGGGUGAGUAAUACAUCGGAACAUGUCCUGUAGUGGGGGAUAGCCCGGCGAAAGCCGGAUUAAUACCGCAUACGAUCUACGGAUGAAAGCGGGGGACCUUCGGGCCUCGCGCUAUAGGGUUGGCCGAUGGCUGAUUAGCUAGUUGGUGGGGUAAAGGCCUACCAAGGCGACGAUCAGUAGCUGGUCUGAGAGGACGACCUGCCACACUGGGACUGAGACACGGCCCAGACUCCUACGGGAGGCAGCAGUGGGGAAUUUUGGACAAUGGGCGAAAGCCUGAUCCAGCAAUGCCGCGUGUGUGAAGAAGGCCUUCGGGUUGUAAAGCACUUUUGUCCGGAAAGAAAUCCUUGGCCCUAAUACGGUCGGGGGAUGACGGUACCGGAAGAAUAAGCACCGGCUAACUACGUG
rnacentral:rRNA from 1 species